GCGUCCGUAGCUCAGCUGGUUAGAGCACUAUCUUGACAUGGUAGAGGUCGGGGGUUCAAAUCCACUCGGACGUA
rnacentral:tRNA from 1 species